GUGUAACAUAACCAACCCCUGCUUGAAGAAUAACCACAUGCUUUUGUAAAGGAAUUUAAUACGCAAGAGUCAUGCAUUUUGUAUGUGUUUGUUUUAAUCUUUUAUUUUACAGUAUAAAGUUUAAUUAUAUUUGCAUUUUGUUUGCAGAAGUCAUGUACCACACUUUGUCAACAAUAAAUGUUGUUUCUGCAAUCUGGAUAAAGAAUAAUAUAUUACUGCCUCUUGGAGAACAGCCGACCGUACUCCAGACAGAGACAAAGACGUGAGGACAUCCAUUGCUUUUAAGUCAUGUACCACACUUUGUCAACAAUGAAUGUUGUUCCUGCAAUCUGGAUGAAGAAUAAUAUAUUACUGCCUCUUGGGAAAACAGCAGACUGUACUCCAGACAGAGACAAAGA